GUUGACCUCGGAUCAGGUAGGAAUACCCGCUGAACUUAAGCAUAUCAAUAGGCGGGA
rnacentral:rRNA from 1 species